rnacentral:rRNA from 1 species
UACGUGAGGUGGCGAGCGUUGUCCGGAAUUACUGGGUGUAAAGGCGCGCGUAGGCGGUAGGCCAAGUCGUGCUGUGAAAUCGCCCGGCUCAACUGGGCGCGGUCGGUGGAAACUGGUCAACUGGAGGACGGUAGAGGCGAGUGGAAUUCCCGGUGUAAGUGGUGAAAUGCGUAGAGAUCGGGAGGAACACUAGUGGCGAAGGCGGCUCGCUGGGCCGGACCUGACGCUGAGGCGCGAAGGCGUGGGGGAGCGAACGGG